GGCGGUCUUCGGUAGUGGCUGCCGGGCUCCCCAGCGCGGGGCAACUCGGCCGCUUCGAUCGACGGCCGUG
rfam:Mycobacterium triviale strain HMC_M3 PROKKA_contig000014, whole genome shotgun sequence.